CAUUCUUUGAGAUGAGGAGAGUAUUCCUGUACCAAGGGGCCUCCCCCCCCCAAUCCUGUGCUUGCUUUGAGUACAAUCAUCCAGCAAAGCGUUCCCUAUCUCCCUCGCGCUGACACACAUACACUCUCUCUCUCUCUCUCUCUCUCUCUCUCUGCUCAUCAUGCUUCGACUUUGAAGUCACUGCUUUCUCUUUCUCUUUUUUGGUCUUUGAUUCAAUAACAUUCUGUGCAUAGUUCCUGUAAUGCCUGGAUCCUUGUGCCUUUAUUUUUUCUUCCUCUGCCAGUGCAGGAACGCAUGGAAGCAAUGCUUACCGAAUGUCUGAUCCAUCGCUGGACACAAGAAUUAAACUCACCGUCGGGAUUGUGUCCCAGCUGGAGACUGUAAACCACUGGUGGCUGGGCAGAUGGACGUGUCCAACCAAAACAGGACGUUCAGCCACACGACCAGCGUUCUGCACUGAGCGCCACACGGUUGUUGUGAAGUGGUGUGUGAAGUGAUGCGCCUCUGUGUUACUUUUCCUAAACCCAAUGUUUGUUUUGUUUCCUAGACCUAAGAUUAGGAAGUUAUUUUGAUCCCAACCAGUUUGUUUUUCCGAAAACCUUUUACUGCUACAAAUAACGUAUGUUCUGUUGCAUAAUGUCGUCACGUGUAGACGCAGAUAAUACUUCCAAAUAAAUCGUAUCGAGGUCGCGCUGAACGUCCUCUUUCAUCCUGUUUCACAAAUUGCCAUGAGAUUGUGUAAAUGAGAGUCUUUGUUUUUGCUUGAUUGUGUGAGCAAUUGCAUGCC
ensembl:lncRNA